AUGACCAAGAGGCAGACAAUGGAGGCGCUAGACAAAAGCAUGCGGGACAUAAUGGACAGGCCAGAACUUCCAUUCGGAGGAAAAACAGUCGUAUUUGGAGGGGAUUUUAGGCAAGUGCUACCUGUUGUCCGAAAGGGAACAAGAGCCCAGAUAGUAGAUUCAUCACUACGCAAGUCUGUCCUAUGGAAUUCAAUGCGUCAACUGAAGCUCGUGCGCAACAUGAGGGCUCAGAAUGACCCGUGGUUCGCAGAAUACCUACUACACAUUGGAAACGGAACCGAGGAGACAAAUGAUGAUGGUGAAAUACAACUACCUACAAGUAUAUGUGUGCCAAAUAAGACGGAUGACAAUAGCCUUGAUAGACUCAUCGACAAUGUCUACAAAACGUGCUUCCCUAAAAGAUCCAAAGUACAUCACAUCAAGAGCAAUUCUAUCAACAGGGAAUGA
rnacentral:rRNA from 1 species